rnacentral:rRNA from 1 species
UUGAACGCUGGCGGCAGGCCUAACACAUGCAAGUCGAGCGGAUGAAGGGAGCUUGCUCCUGGAUUCAGCGGCGGACGGGUGAGUAAUGCCUAGGAAUCUGCCUGGUUGUGGGGGAUAACGUCCGGAAACGGGCGCUAAUACCGCAUACGUCCUGAGGGAGAAAGUGGGGGAUUUUCGGACCUCACGCUAUCAGUUGAUCCUAGGUCGGAUUAGCUAGUUGGUGGGGUAAAGGCCUACCAAGGCGACGACCCGUAACUGGUCUGAGAGGAUGAUCAGUCACACUGGAACUGAGACACGGUCCAGACUCCUACGGGAGGCAGCAGUGGGGAAUAUUGGACAAUGGGCGGAAGCCUGAUCCAGCCAUGCCGCGUGUGUGAAGAAGGUCUUCGGAUUGUAAAGCACUUUAAGUUGGGAGGAAGGGCAGUAAGUUAAUACCUUGCUGUUUUGACGUUACCAACAGAAUAAGCACCGGCUAACUUCGUG